GUAGGGAUGACCAGGGAUGUUCUCUGUUUAGUGAGUCCACCAGAUCAGAGGCAGUAGGGAUGACCAGGGAUGUUCUCUGUUUAGUGAGUCCUCCAGAUCAGAGGCAGUAGGGAUGACCAGGGAUGUUCUCUGUUUAGUGAGUCCUCCAGAUCAGAGGCAGUAGGGAUGACCAGGGAUGUUCUCUGUUUAGUGAGUCCUCCAGAUCAGAGGCAGUAGGGAUGACCAGGGAUGUUCUCUGUUUAGUGAGUCCUCCAGAUCAGAGGCAGUAGGGAUGACCAGGGAUGUUCUCUGUUUAGUGAGUCCUCCAGAUCAGAGGCAGUAGGGAUGACCAGGGAUGUUCUCUGUUUAGUGAGUCCUCCAGAUCAGAGGCAGUAGGGAUGACUAGGGAUGUUCUCUGUUUAGUAGUGAGUCCUCCAGAUCUGAGGCAGUAGGGAUGACCAGGGAUGUUCUCUGUUUAGUGAGUCCUCCAGAUCAGAGGCAGUAGGGACGACCAGGGAUGUUCUCUGUUUAGUGAGUCCUCCAGAUCAGAGGCAGUAGGGAUGACUAGGGAUGUUCUCUGUUUAGUGAGUCCUCCAGAUCAGAGGCAGUAGGGAUGACUAGGGAUGUUCUCUGUUUAGUGAGUCCUCCAGGUCAGAGGCAGUAGGGAUGACCAGG